CAAGCAGAGUUUUGGUGGCGGACGGGUGAGUAACGCGUAAGAACCUACCUUUAGGUGGGGGAUAACUAUUGGAAACGAUAGCUAAUACCCCAUAAGCUGAGGAGUAAAAGGAGGAAUCCACCUAAAGAGGGGCUUGCGUCUGAUUAGCUAGUUGGUGAGGUAAUAGCUUACCAAGGCAACGAUCAGUAGCUGGUCUGAGAGGAUGAUCAGCCACACUGGGACUGAGACACGGCCCAG
rnacentral:rRNA from 1 species